rnacentral:misc_RNA from 1 species
CCAAACCAUUUUAGAUGUGGAAUUCCAGUCCCUCCUUGAAGAAGCAUAUAUAACUUUGACUCAUAGUGAAGCUGAGGAUGUUUGGUCUUCACAGAUUCCAGUUUAACAGCGACCUCUUCUCCAGUUUGCACAUUUACACCCAGAUAGAGCUCCCCAAAAGAUCCACUACCAAUCUUCCUUCCCAGCUUAAACUUGCCACCAACAAUAUGGUCAAUCUUCGAUUUCUCCAUUGCUAAACAACUCAACCCAGAAGCAUAAAAUAGCUAUGUUUACUUAGAUUUGCGAGCAAUUAGCUUUUCCUUAUAAAUAACCCCCCUACCCAACAAACAUUAACACCCAAAAAA